AAGGAUUUAGCUUAAUGAAAGUGGUUGAUUUGCAUUCAAUUGAUGUAAGAUAAAGUCUUGCAGUCCUUA
rnacentral:tRNA from 2 species